GGGUUAACCUGACUUAAGGUCCGUCGAAGACGACGACGUGGAUAGGCGAGAUGUGGAAGCACGGUAACGUGUGUAGCAGACUCGUACUAAUCGACCGGGAGGCUUAACCAC
rnacentral:rRNA from 1 species